rnacentral:rRNA from 1 species
AACGAACGCUGGCGGCGCGCUUAACACAUGCAAGUCGAACGAGAAGGCGUAGCAAUACGCUUGUAAAGUGGCGAACGGGUGAGGAAUACAUGGGUAACCUACCCUCGAGUGGGGGAUAACCCGCCGAAAGGCGGGCUAAUACCGCGUACGCUUCCGAUCUUGCGGGAUCGGAAGGAAAGCUGUCCCAAGGGGAUGGCGCUCAAGGAUGGGCUCAUGUCCUAUCAGCUUGUUGGUAGGGUAACGGCCUACCAAGGCAUCGACGGGUAGCUGGUCUGAGAGGACGAUCAGCCACACUGGCACUGCGACACGGGCCAGACUCCUACGGGAGGCAGCAGUGAGGAAUAUUGCGCAAUGGGCGAAAGCCUGACGCAGCGACGCCGCGUGGGGGAUGAAGGUCUUCGGAUUUGUAAACCCCUUUACGGGAGGGAAGACGGCCUUAGACAACUAAGGCGGACGGUACCUCCAGAAGCAGCCACGGCUAACUUCGUGCCAGCCGCCGCCGUAA